AGAGUUUGAUCCUGGCUCAGGACGAUCGCUGGCGGCGUGCCUAACACAUGCAAGUCGAGCGGGGAGAAGAAUUCGUUUUUCUCUUUAGCGGCGGACGGGUGAGUAACACGUGGGUAACCUGCCUCAAAGUGGGGGAUAGCCUUCCGAAAGGAAGAUUAAUACCGCAUAACAUCAAAGCACUGCAUGGUGCUUUGAUCAAAGGAGCAAUCCGCUUUGAGAUGGACCCGCGGCGCAUUAGCUAGUUGGUGAGGUAACGGCCCACCAAGGCGACGAUGCGUAGCCGACCUGAGAGGGUGAUCGGCCACAUUGGAACUGAGACACGGUCCAGACUCCUACG
rnacentral:rRNA from 1 species